rnacentral:pre_miRNA from 1 species
AUAUUACUCCCUCCGUUCGGAAUUACUUGUCUCGGAAAUGGAUGUAUCUAGAACUAAAAUACGUCUAAAUACAUCCGUUUCCGAGACAAGUAAUUCCGAACGGAGGGAGUAGGAG